rnacentral:rRNA from 2 species
GGGUUCCACACGUACCCAUCCCGAACACGACCGUUAAGCCCUCCAGCGCCGAUGGUACUUGGACCGAAGGGUCCUGGGAGAGUAGGACGCCGCCAAGC